GGGAGGCCCGGGUUCGUUUCCCGGCCAAUGCA
rnacentral:piRNA from 3 species